rnacentral:rRNA from 1 species
GACGAACGCUGGCGGCGUGCUUAACACAUGCAAGUCGAACGAUGAACUCCCAGCUUGCUGGGGGGGAUUAGUGGCGAACGGGUGAGUAACACGUGAGUAACCUGCCCUGGACUCUGGGAUAACCCCGAGAAAUCGGAGCUAAUACCGGAUAGGACCUUGCACCGCAUGGUGUGGGGUGGAAAGUUUUUUCGGUCUGGGAUGGACUCGCGGCCUAUCAGCUUGUUGGUGAGGUAAUGGCUCACCAAGGCGUCGACGGGUAGCCGGCCUGAGAGGGUGACCGGCCACACUGGGACUGAGACACGGCCCAGACUCCUACGGGAGGCAGCAGUGGGGAAUAUUGCACAAUGGGCGCAAGCCUGAUGCAGCAACGCCGCGUGCGGGAUGACGGCCUUCGGGUUGUAAACCGCUUUUAGUAAGGAAGAAGGGGAGCUUGCUCCUUGACGGUACUAUAUGAAUAAGCACCGGCUAACUCCGUGCCAGCAGCCGCAGUAACAC